rnacentral:rRNA from 1 species
GAUGAACGCUAGCGGCAGGCCUAACACAUGCAAGUCGAGGGGUAGAGGAAGCUUGCUUCCUUGAGACCGGCGCACGGGUGCGUAACGCGUAUGCAAUCUACCUUGUACAGGGGGAUAGCCCAGAGAAAUUUGGAUUAAUACCUCAUAGUAUUAUGACUUGGCAUCGAUUUAUAAUUAAAGUUCCAACGGUACAAGAUGAGCAUGCGUCCCAUUAGUUAGUUGGUAAGGUAACGGCUUACCAAGACAAUGAUGGGUAGGGGUCCUGAGAGGGAGAUCCCCCACACUGGUACUGAGACACGGACCAGACUCCUACGGGUGGCAG